GACGAACGCUGGCGGCGUGCUUAACACAUGCAAGUCGAGCGGUAAGGCCCUUUCGGGGGUACGACGAGCGGCGAACGGGUGAGUAACACGUGGGUGACCUGCCCUCAGCUCUGGGAUAAGCCUGGGAAACUGGGUCUAAUACCGGAUAUGACUCCAUGACGCAUGUUGUGGGGUGGAAAGCCUUGUGCGGCUGAGGAUGGGCCCGCGGCCUAUCAGCUUGUUGGUGGGGUGANGGCCUACCAAGGCGACGACGGGUAGCCGGCCUGAGAGGGCGACCGGCCACACUGGGACUGAGACACGGCCCAGACUCCUACGGGAGGCAGCAGUGGGGAAUCUUGCGCAAUGGGCGAAAGCCUGACGCAGCGACGCCGCGUGAGGGAUGACGGCCUGGUGUAA
rnacentral:rRNA from 1 species